GAUGAACGCUGGCGGCGUGCUUAACACAUGCAAGUCGAGCGAGAAGACUUUGACAGAUCCUUCGGGUGAUGGAAGAGUUGGAAAGCGGCGGACGGGUGAGUAACGCGUGGGCAACCUGCCCCAUACAGGAGGAUAGCCACUGGAAACGGUGAUUAAUACUCCAUAAGACCACAGUAUCACAUGAUACAGAGGUAAAAACUCCGGUGGUAUGGGAUGGGCCCGCGUCUGAUUAGCUAGUUGGUAGGGUAACGGCUUACCAAGGCGACGAUCAGUAGCCGACCUGAGAGGGUGAUCGGCCACACUGGAACUGAGACACGGUCCAGACUCCUACGGGAGGCAGCAGUGGGGAAUAUUGCACAAUGGGCGAAAGCCUGAUGCAGCAACGCCGCGUGAACGAUGAAGGCCUUCGGGUUGUAAAGUUCUUUCUUGGAGAAGAAUAAAUGACGGUAUCCAAGGAAUAAGCCCCGGCUAACUACGUGCCA
rnacentral:rRNA from 1 species